ACGUUAGCGGCGGACGGGUGAGUAACACGUGGGUAACCUACCUAUAAGACUGGGAUAACUUCGGGAAACCGGAGCUAAUACCGGAUAAUAUUUCGAACCGCAUGGUUCGAUAGUGAAAGAUGGUUUUGCUGUCACUUAUAGAUGGACCCGCGGCGUAUUAGCUAGUUGGUAAGGUAACGGCUUACCAAGGCAACGAUACGUAGCCGACCUGAGAGGGUGAUCGGCCACACUGGAACUGAGACACGGUCCAG
rnacentral:rRNA from 1 species